GACGAACGCUGGCGGCGUGCCUAACACAUGCAAGUCGAACGGGGUAUUUCUUCGGAGAUACUUAGUGGCGAACGGGUGAGUAACGCGUGAGAAACCUGCCUUUCAGUGGGGGACAACAGUUGGAAACGACUGCUAAUACCGCAUAAUGUUAUUUGGGGGCAUCCCUGAAUAACCAAAGCUUUAUGUGCUGAAAGAUGGUCUCGCGUCUGAUUAGCUAGAUGGCGGGGUAACGGCCCACCAUGGCGACGAUCAGUAGCCGGUCUGAGAGGAUGAACGGCCACAUUGGGACUGAGAUACGGCCCAGACUCCUACGGGAGGCAGCAGUGGGGAAUAUUGGGCAAUGGGGGAAACCCUGACCCAGCAACGCCGCGUGAAGGAAGAAGGCCUUCGGGUUGUAAACUUCUUUUACCAGGGACGAAUCAAAUGACGGUACCUGGAGAAAAAGCAACGGCUAACUACGUGCCAGCCGCCGCGGUAAUAC
rnacentral:rRNA from 1 species